rnacentral:tRNA from 1 species
GGCGCUAUGGUGUAGUGGCAGCACAUGGGAUUUUGAUUGCACAAUUCCCAUAACCCAGGUUCGAACCCUGGUAGUGCCU